rfam:Termitomyces sp. J132 unplaced genomic scaffold scaffold171, whole genome shotgun sequence.
UGUCCCGUGGCUUAGUUGGUUACGGCGUCCGACUGUUAAUACUCUCAAAAUCGGAAGAUCGAGAGUUCAAGUCUCUCCGGGACAG